rnacentral:misc_RNA from 1 species
UACGGAGGGUGCGAGCGUUAAUCGGAAUUACUGGGCGUAAAGCGCGCGUAGGUGGUCUCUUAAGUGGGAUGUGAAAGCCCAGGGCUCAACCCUGGAACUGCAUUCCAAACUGAAAGACUAGAGUACGAUGGAGGGAGGUAGAAUUCAGAGUGUAGCGGUGAAAUGCGUAGAUAUUCUGAGGAAUACCAGUGGCGAAGGCGGCCUCCUGGAUUGAUACUGACGCUGAGGUGCGAAAGCGUGGGUAGCAAACAGG